rnacentral:rRNA from 1 species
GAUGAACGCUGGCGGCGUGCCUAAUACAUGCAAGUCGAGCGAACAGACGAGGAGCUUGCCCCUUUGACGUUAGCGGCGGACGGGUGAGUAACACGUAGGUAACCUACCUAUAAGACUGGGAUAACUUCGGGAAACCGGAGCUAAUACCGGAUAAUAUUUCGAACCGCAUGGUUCGAUAGUGAAAGAUGGCUUUGCUUUCACUUAUAGAUGGACCUGCGCCGUAUUAGCUAGUUGGUAAGGUAACGGCUUACCAAGGCAACGAUACGUAGCCGACCUGAGAGGGUGAUCGGCCACACUGGAACUGAGACACGGUCCAGACUCCUACGGGAGGCAGCAGUAGGGAAUCUUCCGCAAUGGGCGAAAGCCUGACGGAGCAACGCCGCGUGAGUGAUGAAGGUCUUCGGAUCGUAAAACUCUGUUAUUAGGGAAGAACAAACGUGUAAGUAACUGUGCACGUCUUGACGGUACCUAAUCAGAAAGCCACGGCUAACUACGUG